GCAAGCGUGUAUGUGAACUACCGGAACUAUGUCGUAGACACGCCGUCGCAAAAACAUCUUCUAAAGUAUUGAAUUUUGGAAUGGUGUUCUUCUAAGUAAGAAAAUAUACAUAUAGUAUGGCGACACUCCAUUUCACGAAUUGUUGCAAAGUGACCAUGAAUACCAAGUUCACCAAGACGGAACCCAAUCCUUGUUACAUGCUGUAGCUGACCCGACUCUAUUGAACCAGUGUCGCAGGUCAAAUCUGCCGAUCCAUCAAUAAGUGAAAAGUCGAUGUAUAAUCAUUGUCAGCGGAACACGAUGUAUUAAAUUGCCGGAACACAAUAUGAAUAUCAAUAGCCGGAUUUAUGAGGUCUUAAUUCUACAAAUAAUCGUGCGCGGAUAUUUAUUAGGAUUUAUAUCACUGGAUCGCCAGAAUUGAAUCAAAUUUGCCAAUUAUAUUUCUUAUACAACGAACAAGUAAUUCUCGAACGAUAUUACAUAAUUAAAUAUAAUUAGGCCUAAGCAUUGUUAUAUUAUAUAAAACUAGAAUCUUUAUAUUCUACUUAUAUUACGUUUAUAUAGUUCUGAUGUACCAUUUCCGAGUAUGUAAGAAAUAAAAGUAAACUGUAGUGUAAUUUA